rnacentral:rRNA from 1 species
CCCUAUUAUUAGGAGUAAAAACAAGUUAGUGAGUAGGAAAAACUACUGAAAACUAUCCAGAAUGGCGGUUUUUUUUAUAGUCAGGUAAAUGUGUUUUUAAAACGAAAUCACACGAAAAUCUUUCUUAUCCUGGAAACCCAUCUUGUACACCGCCGUCUGAAGGGUCAACUAAAAAAAUUAACCCCUUUUCUUAAGAAGAAAUAAGUCAGGUAAGGUGCAGACUAUGGGUAAGAAGAAAUGCAUUUCCUUAAAAAAAAUCAGAUGGGUAGUUGAAAUACAACCCUAAAGAAGAAUUUGAAAGUAAGAAAUUUUUAUUAUAAAACUCUGAAAUCAUACCAAAAAAAUGUACACAUCGCCCGUCGCU